rnacentral:rRNA from 1 species
UCCGGGGGGGGCCAUCGUUGUUCGGAAUUACUGGGCGUAAAGGGCGCGUAGGCGGGUGGACAAGUCUCUCGUGAAAGCCCACGGCUCAACCGUGGAAUUGCGGGAGAUACUGUCUGUCUUGAGUCCAGGAGAGGAGGGUGGAAUUCCCAGUGUAGCGGUGAAAUGCGUAGAUAUUGGGAGGAACACCGGUGGCGAAGGCGGCUCUCUGGACCGGUACUGACGCUGAGGCGCGAAAGCUAGGGGAGCAAACGGG